rnacentral:rRNA from 1 species
UAUUAGAAAGAAUACCAAUUGCGAAGGCAGCUUUCUGGAUCAUUACUGACACUGAGGAACGAAAGCAUGGGUAGCGAAGAGGAUUAGAUACCCUCGUAGUCCAUGCCGUAAACGAUGUGUGUUAGACGUUGGAAAUUUAUUUUCAGUGUCGCAGCGAAAGCGAUAAACACACCGCCUGGGGAGUACGACCGCAAGGUUAAAACUCAAAUGAAUUGACGGGGACCCGCACAAGUAGUGGAGCAUGUGGUUUAAUUCGAAGAUACGCGCAGAACCUUACCAACACUUGACAUGUUCGUCGCGACUUUAAGAGAUUAAAGUUUUCGGUUCGGCCGGACGAAACACAGGUGCUGCAUGGCUGUCGUCAGCUCGUGUCGUGAGAUGUUGGGUUAAGUCCCGCAACGAGCGCAACCCUCACUUUUAGUUGCCAUCAUUAAGUUGGGCACUCUGAAAGAACUGCCAGUGAUAAGCUGGAGGAAGGUGGGGAUGACGUCAAGUCCUCAUGGCCCUUACGUGUUGGGCUACACACGUGCUGCAAUGGUAUCUACAACAGGAAGCAAGACUGCGAAGUUAAGCAAAUCCUUAAAAGAUACCUCAGUUCGGAUUGCACUCUGCAACUCGAGUGCAUGAAGCUGGAAUUACUAGUAAUCGUGGAUCAGCGUGCCACGGUGAAUGCGUUCCCGGGCCUUGUACACACCGCCCA